rfam:Pan troglodytes isolate Yerkes chimp pedigree #C0471 (Clint) chromosome 18, whole genome shotgun sequence.
GCCAGGUGUGGUGGCGCACACCUGUAAUCCCAGCUACUUGGGAGGCUGAGGCAGGAGAAUCACUUGAACCCGGGAGGUGGAGGUUGCAGUGAGUGGAGAUCACACCAUUGCACCCCAGCCUGGGCAACAGAGCGAGACUCCGUCUCAA